rnacentral:rRNA from 1 species
ACUCCUACGGAAGGCAGCAGUGGGGAAUCUUGCGCAAUGGGCGAAAGCCUGACGCAGCGACGCCGCGUGGGUGACGAAGGCCUUCGGGUUGUAAAGCCCUGUGGGGUAGAACGAACUGGCAUCGGGCUAAUAUCCCCGGUGUCUUGACGGUACUGCCUUAGCAAGCAUCGUCUAACUCUGUGCCAGCAGCCGCGGUAAU